CGAAAGCCUGAUGGAGCGACGCUGCGUGGGGGAUGAAUGGCUUCGGCUCGUAAACCCCUGUCAUUUGCGAUCAACCGUUAUUAUUUAAAAGAUGAUAACCUGAUAGUAGCGAAAGAGGAAGGGACGGCUAACUCUGUGCCAGCAGCCGCGGUAAUACAGAGGUCCCAAGCGUUGUUCGGAUUUACUCGGCGUAAAGGGUGCGUAGGUGGCGGUGUAAGUCGGAUGUGAAAUCUCCGAGCUCAACUCGGAAACUGCAUUGGAAACUACAUUGCUCGAGGGUUGGAGGGGGGACUGGAAUACUUGGUGUAGCAGUGCAAUGCGUAGAUAUCAAGUGGAACACCAGAGGCGAAGGCGAGUCCCUGGACAACUCCUGACACUGAGGCACGAAAGCUAGGGGAGCAAACAG
rnacentral:rRNA from 1 species